CCGUGACACGGGUGUCGCAUCCGAGCCACGGAACAUGGCGGCAAGAGCUGUGGGAGAGGAAGGCUCGGCCCUGAAAUUUUUUUAAACGGACAUCCAACGAGCGUCCGGUUCCAUCCGAUGACCGGACGGGAGCGAGGCCGGCCGAACGUUACGGAAGAAAGGCGUCCGGGUAUUGUUCCCUGGUACGGUCCAAAGGUAUCCCGAGCACGGUGUUUCCUUUAGAAUUUCCGAGUUGGCUUCAAGUGCCAAAAAUAACAACAGAACUUCUGCAUCUCCUGAGAUCUCCAGUUCAGUAUCCAUGUCAACCAGAGCACCACACCGAGCGCCUCGUCGCUAACGAAGACAGGACGGUGAAAACGCAUACACAUCCUUGCCGAUCCAGACGGUAACAGGAAAGAACCCACAAGCAAGCGCAGAUGGCCGCAGAAUCCAGGACGCUUAGGAAGCUUUGCACGGGAGGGAGAGCUACGGUCCUCAAAAGGUUACCAUGUACCUACUUUGCAUAGCAAAUACCUACAAAAUAGACAACCGCGCCAAGGUGACAUCGGGCGAAACCGAGGACGAUUUUGUCCCAAGACAAGCUUGUGGGAAUUGGGGUGUGGUUUUCAACUAAGGUCUAGGCCAGAAGAAUCUCGUUAAGCCACACAGUCGCCGUGUGCGUUUGCGAUGUCGUUGGAAUGUUGCGAGGCAAGUGAGGAUGUGAUUAGAGGCGAUCGAUCGACGGGAUGUCUCCCGAUUGCAAAGUUCUACACUACUUGCGACUGACCGCUGAAACAAGGCAGCUCUGUCCCUCCUCGCCGACCCCCGACACCCCGGGAGUUUACGACUCAGCCGCCGUCAUCCUCGCCUUUGAGGGAAAGGGAUUGCUUUUUUCGGGGGACCGGAUUCUAGGCUGAAACGGAAACUAAUAUUCAUUCAAUCCCAUUUACUGAGCGCUUACUGUGUGCAAAGCAUUGUACUAAGUGCUUGGGAGAGUACAGAUUCCCCAUGUCUCUAAGGUCGCUCUCUGAAGCACGUUUACAUCGAACCUUUGGAACGUAUGUAUUUGUCAAUUCUGAAUAAAAAUGUCGUUCAAUCAGUCGAGCAACGGUAUCAAUUGAGGGCAUUAAUAAGAACAAA